UACGUAGGGUGCAAGCGUUGUCCGGAAUUAUUGGGCGUAAAGAGCUCGUAGGCGGUUUGUCGCGUCUGCUGUGAAAACUCGGGGCUUAACCCCGGGCCUGCAGUGGGUACGGGCAGACUAGAGUGCGGUAGGGGAGACUGGAAUUCCUGGUGUAGCGGUGAAAUGCGCAGAUAUCGGGAGGAACACCGGUGGCGAAGGCGGUUCUCUGGGCCUGUACUGACGCUGAGGAGCGAAAGCGUGGGGAGCAAACAGG
rnacentral:rRNA from 1 species